rnacentral:rRNA from 1 species
GAUGAACGCUGGCGGCGUGCCUAAUACAUGCAAGUCGAGCGAACAAAUGAGGAGCUUGCUCCUCUGACGUUAGCGGCGGACGGGUGAGUAACACGUGGAUAACCUACCUAUAAGACUGGGAUAACUUCGGGAAACCGGAGCUAAUACCGGAUAAUAUAUUGAACCGCAUGGUUCAAUAGUGAAAGACGGUUUUGCUGUCACUUAUAGAUGGAUCCGCGCCGCAUUAGCUAGUUGGUAAGGUAACGGCUUACCAAGGCAACGAUGCGUAGCCGACCUGAGAGGGUGAUCGGCCACCCUGGAACUGAGACACGGUCCAGACUCCUACGGGAGGCAGCAGUAGGGAAUCUUCCGCAAUGGGCGAAAGCCUGACGGAGCAACGCCGCGUGAGUGAUGAAGGUCUUCGGAUCGUAAAACUCUGUUAUUGGGGAAGAACAAAUGUGUAAGUAACUAUGCACGUCUUGACGGUACCUAAUCAGAAAGCCACGGCUAACUACGUG